rnacentral:rRNA from 2 species
GCAAUGCCGCGUGUGUGAAGAAGGCCUCUCGGGUUGUAAAGCACUUUUGUCCGGAAAGAAAUCCUUGGCUCUAAUACAGUCGGGGGAUGACGGUACCGGAAGAAUAAGCACCGGCUAACUACGUGCCAGCAGCCGCGGUAAUACGUAGGGUGCGAGCGUUAAUCGGAAUUACUGGGCGUAAAGCGUGCGCAGGCGGUUUGCUAAGACCGAUGUGAAAUCCCCGGGCUCAACCUGGGAACUGCAUUGGUGACUGGCAGGCUAGAGUAUGGCAGAGGGGGGUAGAAUUCCACGUGUAGCAGUGAAAUGCGUAGAGAUGUGGAGGAAUACCGAUGGCGAAGGCAGCCCCCUGGGCCAAUACUGACGCUCAUGCACGAAAGCGUGGGGAGCAAACAGGAUUAGAUACCCUGGUAGUCCACGCCCUAAACGAUGUCAACUAGUUGUUGGGGAUUCAUUUCCUUAGUAACGUAGCUAACGCGUGAAGUUGACCGCCUGGGGAGUACGGUCGCAAGAUUAAAACUCAAAGGAAUUGACGGGGACCCGCACAAGCGGUGGAUGAUGUGGAUUAAUUCGAUGCAACGCGAAAAACCUUACCUACCCUUGACAUGGUCGGAAUCCUGCUG